rnacentral:rRNA from 1 species
CGGAACGUGCCCAAUCGUGGGGGAUAACGCAGCGAAAGCUGUGCUAAUACCGCAUACGAUCUACGGAUGAAAGCAGGGGAUCGCAAGACCUUGCGCGAAUGGAGCGGCCGAUGGCAGAUUAGGUAGUUGGUGAGGUAAAGGCUCACCAAGCCUUCAAUCUGUAGCUGGUCUGAGAGGACGACCAGCCACACUGGGACUGAGACACGGCCCAGACUCCUACCGGGAGGCAGCAGCG